AGUGGGAUAGUUGGGUGAAAUGGUAGUUCCAUUUCAAGUUUUCUAAGGAAUCUCCAUACUGCUUUCCAGAGUAGCUGCACCAAUUUGCAGUCCCACAAGCAAU
rnacentral:pre_miRNA from 1 species